rnacentral:rRNA from 1 species
GCACGAAGUCGGAAUUGCUAGUAAUCGUAGGUCAGCAUACUACGGUGAAUACGUUCCCGGGCCUUGUACACACCGCCCGUCAAACCAUGAGAGUUGGCAACACCCGAAGUCGGUAGUCUAACCGCAAGGAGGACGCCGCCGAAGGUGGGGUUGAUGAUUAGGGUUAAGUCGUAACAAGGUACC